rnacentral:rRNA from 1 species
CCUACGGGCGGCAGCAGUGGGGGAUAUUGCACAAUGGGCGAAAGCCUGAUGCAGCGACGCCGCGUGAGCGAAGAAGUAAUUCGGUACGUAAAGCUCUAUCAGCAGGGAAGAAAAUGACGGUACAUGACUAAGAAGCUCCGGCUAAAUACGUGCCAGCAGCCGCGGUAAUACGUAUGGAGCAAGCGUUAUCCGGAUUUACUGGGUGUAAAGGGAGCGUAGGCGGCCCUGUAAGUCUGAUGUGAAAAUCUGGGGCUCAACCCCAAACGUGCAUUGGAAACUGGAGGGCUAGAGUGCGGGAGGGGCAGGCGGAAUUCCUAGUGUAGCGGUGAAAUGCGUAGAUAUUAGGAGGAACACCAGUGGCGAAGGCGGCCUGCUGGACGGUAACUGACGCUGAGGCUCGAAAGCGUGGGGAGCAAACAGGAUUAGAUACCCGGGUAGUC